rnacentral:rRNA from 1 species
AUUUCUCGGCGGGGACCCAAGUACCCCUGGUGGGUGUGCUCGGGCCCGGCCAUCCUUCCGUAAACUUUCGCGCGUCCUUCACCGGUCGGCAAAGGGAUCAGAUAAUUUACCUUGAGAAAAUUAGAGUGUUUCAGGCAGGCUUAGCCGGAAUACAUUAGCAUGGAAUAAUGGAAUAGGACUGAGGUCUCGUUGUUGGUUACGCGGACUACAGUAAUGAUUAAUAGGGACAGUUGGGGGCAUUAGUAUUUAAUAGCUAGAGGUGGAAUUC